UGGGGAAUUUUGGACAAUGGGGGAAACCCUGAUCCAGCCAUCCCGCGUGUGCGAUGAAGGCCUUCGGGUUGUAAAGCACUUUUGGCAGGAAAGAAACGUCGCGGGUUAAUACCCCGCGAAACUGACGGUACCUGCAGAAUAAGCGCCGGCUAACUACGUGCCAGCAGCCGCGGUAAUACGUAGGGUGCAAGCGUUAAUCGGAAUUACUGGGCGUAAAGCGUGCGCAGGCGGUUCGGAAAGAAAGAUGUGAAAUCCCAGAGCUUAACUUUGGAACUGCAUUUUUAACUACCGGGCUAGAGUGUGUCAGAGGGAGGUGGAAUUCCGCGUGUAGCAGUGAAAUGCGUAGAUAUGCGGAGGAACACCGAUGGCGAAGGCAGCCUCCUGGGAUAACACUGACGCUCAUGCACGAAAGCGUGGGGGAGCAAACAGGAUUAGAUACCCUGGUAGUCCACGCCCUAAACGAUGUCAACUAGCUGUUGGGGGCCUUCGGGCCUUGGUAGCGCAGCUAACGCGUGAAGUUGACCGCCUGGGGAGUACGGUCGCAAGAUUAAAACUCAAAGGAAUUGGAC
rnacentral:rRNA from 1 species